rnacentral:rRNA from 1 species
AGGGAAUAUUAGUAAUGGGCGAAAGCCUGAACUAGCAACACCGCGUGUGCGAAGAAGGCCUUCGGGUUGUAAAGCACUUUUUGAGAGGAUGAGGAAGGACGGUACUCUCAGAAUAAGUCUCGGCUAACUACGUGCCAGCAGCCGCGGUAACACGUAGGAGGCAAACGUUAUCCGGAUUUACUGGGCGUAAAGCGCGUGUAGGUGGUUUGGUAAGUAGAGCGUGAAAUCUCCUGGCUCAACUGGGAGAGGUCGUUCUAAACUGCCGGACUAGAGGAUGGUAGAGGGAGGUUGAAGUCCGGGUGUAGCGUUGGAAUUCGCAGAUGUCCGGAGAAACACCAGUGGCGAAAGCGGCCUCCUGGCCCAUUCCUGACAGUCAGACGCGAAAGCUAGUGUAUCAAACG